rnacentral:rRNA from 1 species
AUUGAACGCUGGCGGAAUGCUUUACACAUGCAAGUCGAACGGCAGCACGGACUUCGGUCUGGUGGCGAGUGGCGAACGGGUGAGUAAUAUAUCGGAACGUAUCCAAUAAUGGGGGAUAACUAAUCGAAAGGUUGGCUAAUACCGCAUACGCCCUACGGGGAAAGCUAGGGACCUUCGGGCCUGGCGUUAAUGGAGCGGCUGAUAUCUGAUUAGCUAGUUGGUGAGGUAAAGGCUCACCAAGGCGACGAUCAGUAGCUGGUCUGAGAGGACGACCAGCCACACUGGAACUGAGACACGGUCCAGACUCCUACGGGAGGCAGCAGUGGGGAAUUUGGACAAUGGGCGCAAGCCUGAUCCAGCCAUUCCGCGUGAGUGAAGAAGGCC